AGUGAACGCUGGCGGUAGGCCUAACACAUGCAAGUCGAACGGCAGCACAGUAAGAGCUUGCUCUUACGGGUGGCGAGUGGCGGACGGGUGAGGAAUACAUCGGAAUCUACUUUUUCGUGGGGGUUAACGUAGGGAAACUUACGCUAAUACCGCAUACGACCUUCGGUUGAAAGCAGGGGAUCUUCGGACCUUGCGCGAUUGAAUGCGCCGAUGUCGGAUUAGCUAGUUGGCGGGGUAAAGGCCCACCAAGGCGACGAUCCGUAGCUGGUCUGAGAGGAUGAUCAGCCACACUGGAACUGAGACACGGUCCAGACUCCUACGGGAGGCAGCAGUGGGGAAUAUUGGACAAUGGGCGCAAGCCUGAUCCAGCCAUACCGCGUGGGUGAAGAAGGCCUUCGGGUUGUAAAGCCCUUUUGUUGGGAAAGAAAAGCAGCAGGUUAAUACCCCGCUGUUCUGACGGUACCCAAAGAAUAAGCACCGGCUAACUUCGUG
rnacentral:rRNA from 1 species